rnacentral:rRNA from 1 species
GUCUGUGGCCAUGCCAUUCUGAAUACUCCCAGUUUUGGAAGCUAAGUAGGAUUGGGCCUGGUUAGUCCUGGGAUGAGAAAGACA